GACGAACGCUGGCGGCGUGCUUAACACAUGCAAGUCGAACGGAAAGGCCCUGCUUUUGUGGGGUGCUCGAGUGGCGAACGGGUGAGUAACACGUGAGUAACCUGCCCUUGACUUUGGGAUAACUUCAGGAAACUGGGGCUAAUACCGGAUAGGAGCUCCUGCUGCAUGGUGGGGGUUGGAAAGUUUCGGCGGUUGGGGAUGGACUCGCGGCUUAUCAGCUUGUUGGUGGGGUAGUGGCUUACCAAGGCUUUGACGGGUAGCCGGCCUGAGAGGGUGACCGGCCACAUUGGGACUGAGAUACGGCCCAGACUCCUACGGGAGGCAGCAGUGGGGAAUAUGGCACAAUGGGCGGAAGCCUGAUGCAGCAACGCCGCGUGCGGGAUGACGGCCUUCGGGUGGUAAACCGCUUUCGCCUGUGACGAAGCGUGAGGGACGGGAAUGGGGAAAGAAGCACCGGCGAACUACGG
rnacentral:rRNA from 1 species